UACGGGGGGGGCAAGCGUUGUUCGGAAUUACUGGGCGUAAAGGGCUCGUAGGCGGCCAACUAAGUCAGACGUGAAAUCCCUCGGCUUAACCGGGGAACUGCGUCUGAUACUGGAUGGCUUGAGGUUGGGAGAGGGAUGCGGAAUUCCUGGUGUAGCGGUGAAAUGCGUAGAUAUCAGGAGGAACACCGGCGGUGUAGACGGCUUUCUGGACCGUAGCUGACGCUGAGACACGAAAGCGUGGGUAGCAAACAGG
rnacentral:rRNA from 1 species